CUGGUCUGAGAGGAUGACCAGCCACACUGGAACUGAGACACGGUCCAGACUCCUACGGGAGGCAGCAGUGGGGAAUAUUGCACAAUGGGCGCAAGCCUGAUGCAGCCAUGCCGCGUGUAUGAAGAAGGCCUUCGGGUUGUAAAGUACUUUCAGCGAGGAGGAAGGGGUUG
rnacentral:rRNA from 1 species